UAUACUCCUCAGCCGACGUCGGCAGAAA
rnacentral:sRNA from 1 species